rnacentral:rRNA from 1 species
AUGGAGCAAGAGAUGUGGGUGUUGGGUUUGAAGAUGAAUGACAAAGCUGAGCCCUCUUUUGCUACGCUACAUACACUGAAUUUUCACUGUUCAGUUGCGUUUUGUUUUGGAUUCGGUUUGAAUCCUCCUCCUCCUCUCUCUCUCUCUCUCUCAUAUAUAUAUAUAUAUAUAUAUAUAUAUAUAUAUAUAUAUAUAUAUAUAUAUAUAUAA